rnacentral:snoRNA from 11 species
GAGUGAUAUGAUGGCAUACCAUCUUUCGGGACUGACUCUUGUGAUGAUUUUCUUGUAUCUUACUGAUCACUU